CUUCUGCUACGGAGAAACGAUCAAUCGAUCGAUGAAGCUGAAAUGGUAAUGGGGCGAACGAAGCAUCCUCGAGGAGGAGGCGGAGAUUCCCAGGCUAUCGACUUCCAAUGCUCCGUGUCGGCUUCUCUGCAGGGGAACCACGACGAUCUUGCCUUUUCCUCCUCCAAUAACUCGUUUCCGGUUCCUUUUCUGGUGCAGAUCGAGGAGGCGUUGGCGGUGUCGAGCACGACUCCCACGCUAUGCACUUCCGAGGUUGGAGAAUUCUUCUUCCCCUAAUCACUCCUUGUAGGCUCGGCAUGACGAUCUUGCCUUUUUCUCUUACACCAAUUCCUUUCCGACGGUUCCUUUUCCGGUACAGAUCAAGAGGAGACGGUCCGGGAGCACGCCCGGUAGAGUAACCUUCUUCUAAUCCAUCCGUUCUUGAACCCAUUUUCCUCGUCCCUUUCCCAAAAUACUGUUCGUUUUCUUGUUGACAGCUGUUUCUUGCAGUGUGUUUGUCGUCGGCUCCUGGUCCACUCCAUCUUCCACCAAACUUGGUAUCCGUGGGGAACUGGUAACGACAUGUUAAAUGCUGCUAAAGAAUAUUGGUCUCUUUUCCUAAUAGCUUAAGGUUUUAGGAUUUGUGGCUAUCCAAUUAAUACUUUAAGAUAGUAUAUUGGGCUCAUGAGAUGGAUAGGAGCUCAUGAGAUGUGAUAUUAAAGUACAUAUUGGGCUCUAUUGGGGAUGUUGAAGCGUAUAUUGGGUUCUAUUCUACCUGCUUACAGGAAUGAUCCAGGGGGACAUCAGUAAAUAGAAGCAUCACAAGCCGCAGGUGGAUUGGAGGAUCUCAUGCCAUACAUGAGCCUGACUUUAUUACAUCCUGGUUAACCCUCAAAAGGUUCGAGUGAUGUUGCUUUCUUUGAGGUUCACCAAUUGUAAUGAGAGAAAAAGAUAGGAGUCUUAUCACCUUGGAAUAUGGAAUCUUGGACAGAGGCCACACAGUAUGAGAGAGGGAGAGAGAGGAGAUUCCAAGUGGCUGAGUGCGCCAGGAAUGUGUGCGGCAAAACCUGUUGUCAUCACCUGAUGUAGCAGAAGUGCAGAAGACAAGGAGCCUAUCGGUUGGCUUGCCUGUGAAGGAGAAGGAUGAACAACUGUUAUUGGGUCCACUAUCAAAAAGCUUAGAUCCACAACACAGAGAGAGAGAGAGAGAGAGAGAGAGAGAGAGAGAGAGAUGGUUGUGUUAAUUUUUCUCUCUGCAAAUUAUUGUGUACUCUUAUCAUUCUUAUAGAUUAGGAAAAUAAACAUCGACUAAGUAGUUGAUUUUUACCAUUGAAUUCAAGAGGGUGGUAAAGUUUCCACGAUCCUUCUCCAUCCACCUCUUGGAGGUUCAUUGAACCCAGACUAUUUUUGAUAUAAAUCCAUGGAAUUCAAGAGGGUGGU